rfam:Erinaceus europaeus unplaced genomic scaffold scaffold00310, whole genome shotgun sequence
UAGGGAUGUCUCGGUUCGGAGUCCCUCCCUGAACCGCGGAUAACACUAGAAGUGGAGGGGCA